rnacentral:lncRNA from 1 species
CAUCAGCAAUCUUAAUAGGCUAUGUUCGCAAUAUCCAUCAAGUGACACACGGCACGGGACUACUGUACGCGCCGCACGCGCUAAAGAGAUCCGUGACUCUGACGAACUGUUCACCAGCAGCAGGAGGAGAGGGAUGAGGGCAGCAUGGAUUACUCCCUCUCCACUGGGUUAAGAUGCUUACCAACUAAUUACCUUUCCAUCUGAAAAUCCCCGGCCACGCAGCCCCAACAGACAGAGUGCUAGGAGAGAUGAAGAGAUAGAGGGACGGGGAGGCCGGUGGUGGAGAGAGGAGAGGAUGGGUGUUUGGGUUUCUUUUUUCAUUUCAGGAUGAGGAUGCUGUCCUUUGGGUGAUGUGGCCUUCGAUCAGGUCUAUUGACGAUUUCUUCCAGAAGCGGGAAGAGGAGCUCUGGGACCCAUUUGGAGCAUCUCAGAAAUCACUUAGUGCAUCAUUCCACACAGCUGUGAUCAAUCUUCGAGCUGGGUAGUGGGUCUGCAUGGCACAGAGAUGAAUGUCUGCCCCUCUCUCCGUGUCCCGAUAACGGAUGUUUGUUCUAACCUGUUUGUUCUAGCCAGCUGAACAGAAGGCAUGUGCAACGCAGCCCAUAAGGACAUGGAUAUAAGAAACUUGUUGCUGAUUUGAAGAUUUGAAGUAGUAGAAUUGAAUACAUGGCUAAUGCUGUGUUGGACGACAUGUUGGGACACAUUCUUUUAGAACACAUAGAGCAUAAUUCUUCUCUGUGUAGUGUGGAGUAAGGUCUGGUGUUUGAGAGAGUGCUUUAGUCAUGCAUUUCAUACAAGCUCUGCCUCCGUUCAUUCCCCUUUUGUGGAUCAGAGACAAGGUAGAAGAUGUAAGCAAUAACUUGACUUGAGUUUCUAUCAUAUUUCUCUGACCUAUCCAAGUUCACAGGGGCGGGCGGCCUGUCCAUCUGGCAUUUUGGGCAAAUGCCAGAUGGGCUGGUCCAUUUUUAGCCCAGUAGGACUGUCUAACUUGUGCCCCUCAAGGUACAAAAUGGGCUGGUAUGGGGGCCUCAAAGAAAAAACAGAGUGGCUGCGGUUCUGGAUUUUCUGUAACCCGACAUGCUGUUGCUGAAAAUACGGAGAUUUCUGCAUAUGCGGGAUCCACGAGCCUACCUCCUUUCAGCUGCUGCUCAGUAAUAAUGGGAAGUUCUUACCGACUCAGAUCUUUUUGACUCAGUCAAAAGAAUGAAUCAAGCUCAUUCCAUUCAUUUGAUUCAGUAAUGCCCAGAGCAUGCAGGACCCCUACAGGCAAAUGAUGAACUAAAAGCUCGAAGGAAUCAUGAUUGCACAAGUCUCUCAUUCACCAUAGGAGGCUUAUUGGAGCUGCCAUUUGUGACUGAAACGUAUAAAACUGUGCUUCAAACAAUGUACAUUUGUGAUUGCUAGGCAUACAAAUAAGAUUAUUUAUUGAUACAUUUGAAACAAGAUCUUGUUGCGGCCGCAACCGGACUAGAUUGUGUGAACGAUUCUUGGCGGAAUGCUUGACUGCCGCGAGGGAGAUCAGCAAAAUAUUGUUUACGAACUGCAGCAGCCCACCAAAACGAUUUGUUCCAGUGUUAGGCAGAGUCAGGCUGUGUAUGUUUUGAUUCUACAAAGCUGUGUCCAUCGAUAACAUUCAAUAAUCAAUUCAUUGCAUUAAUUGUCGCACCAUGCGAUCACCUAUCAGUUCUAAACAUGUAUUUCCCUUUCUGCUGCCUGCAUUUUUCUGUGAACACAUGAUAGACAGUUGGUAGGCGCGUAUUAAUCCUACUUUAGAAUUUUUUUGCGGCCAGCAGGUCAAAAGAACGACUAAAAUGAACGAGUCACUCGGAAAAGCG